UACAGAGGGGGCAAGCGUUGUUCGGAAUUACUGGGCGUAAAGGGCUCGUAGGCGGCCAACUAAGUCAUACGUGAAAUCCCUCAGCUUAACUGGGGAACUGCGUGUGAUACUGGAUGGCUUGGAUUUGGGAGAGGGAUGCGGAAUUCCAGGUGUAGCGGUGAAAUGCGUAGAUAUCUGGAGGAACACCGGUGGCGAAGGCGGCAUCCUGGACCGACACUGACGCUGAGGCGCGAAAGCUAGGGUAGCAAACGGG
rnacentral:rRNA from 1 species